GGAGAAUGGAGAUUGUGAGCCAUGUCUUCUUGUCCAUCACUUCCUGACCUCACAAAUGCUCUUAUGGAUGAAUGGACAAUAAUUCCCACAGACACACUCAAAUCUUGUAGAAAGCCUUCACAGUGGGAUGUCAUGAAUUCUCCUGUAGGUGUAAUAUGUAGGUGUCCAAAUACUUUUGUCCCUAUUAGGUGUAUAUGUAGGAUUUAGAGCAGCUAGACCAAGGUAUGCUUCAUUGCAUUUGAUCAGGAGGAGAAACUUUUACUUGCUACAGGGGAUGACGCUAUAUUUAACACGAAACAAAUACAUUGGGUCCUGGUUUGCUUUUAUACUGGUCAUAUGUAUUUGCAGUUGAACCAAAAUUAGGGAACAAAGUGACACGUGACAAGCCUGCAAGCAUAGAUGUGUUGAGUGAGACGCAUCGAAGGCAGUUCAGUACGCUUGGUGGUCAAUAGAUUCAUGUGGACUCAGACAAAACAGUGAGUUUUGGUAAUCAAUAGUUAAUAAAUACAUUGAUUAACAAUAUUUAUAUAGCACAUCAACAUGUUUACAUAGUUACAUCAGUAUGCAUUUUUUUAAAGAAAAGAGUUACCUUGGUUAAAGAGCAUUUAUCCAUGUAUGAAUGUAUGUAUUUAUUCAUGUAUUUAGCAGUGGCCCUAAUAUGCUGUCGUAGCAAACAUACCUUUCUCCAACAAAACAGUUGCAUAGUGAAGACACAAGUGUGCUCGGGCCCAGAACAUAGCAGUGUGCACAGGGGAAAAGGGAGUACAAUCAUUCUCUGGUAUUGUACAAGGCAACAGCGCCUAGUGUGAGUGCACCUUUAUGUUCUUAAACUUGGUAUGGUUGUCAAAAGAAGUCAUAUCCUAAUUUUUAUUGAUAUAUUUAACUGAGGGUCUGUGUAAUCUUAACUUACUGACUAGUGUAAACUUUGACUUUUAAAUACAACAGAAGGAGAAGAAGCCAAAAUUGACUUGCAGGUGCAGAAAUCUGCUAUUAAAAAGGAAACAUUCAAACGCCACAUGUCUAGACAGGACAUGACACAUUAAAACACAUUUAUAUAUCUGUGCACACACACACAUGUGCCUUGUCCUUGUUUUUACUAUGCACUUAUUUACCAUUCAUCAUAAAUUCAUUAAAUGAAUGUCUCAUGAACUUAAACAGUUUGUCUGUGCUCUUUCCUCUGCGUUGUCCUGCAUAUAGUCUCCACCAUGGUUUGUUGUGCUGCCUGGAGAUGCUCCUGUCGCUCAGAGUGACUGACACACAUCUUAACAUUACCAGAGAUUACACCAACAAAAAUGAGGUUUUGGCUCGAAUCUCAGCAUGUACAACGGACAUCAUCUUAUGGAGCAGCAGCUUAAGUUGUCUUCAACCUUCAAAAGUUCAAAGACAUCACUUCCCUCCUGUGUACCCUUCCCUGGCUUCCUGUAGCAGCCUCCCCUUGAGUGAACAGCAGAAUGACUGUCUUAGAACAGAGUCAAACUAACCAGGUUGUGUUCCAAACCGCAUGGAAGGAGAGUCUCCUAAAUUAUAGAAAAGCUCUUAGUGCUGCUAGAGCAAAAUAUUUCUCCUCGCUAGAAGAAAACAAAACUAAUCCUACAUUUAAUACUGUAGCAAAACUAACUAGGAAGACCACCACUACAGAAGCAUCCACACCAUCAGUAUUUAGCAGCGACAACUUUUUGAAUUUUUUCAGUGAUGAAGUUGAAAACAUAUGGCACAAAAUUAAUACUAUUAAUCUAAACCUGAGCAAUCUGAUGACAAACCAACUAGAUGUCAGUAUAGUUACAUCAGAUCAGCGUUUAGAGUCUUUUAACCCUCUCCGUGAGACCAAGUUAAUUUCACUAAUUUCUUGAUCAAAAUCGACAACAUGUAUACUAGAUCCCGUACCCACAACUUUCCUAAAACAGAUACAACUCUUUUAAAAAAGAUAAAUUCAUCUCUUAGUACUGGCUAUGUCCCUAAAUCAUUUAAAGCAGUUAUCAAACCUCUGGCAAAAAACCUAACCUAGACCCCUGCCAGUUGUCUAAUUACAGACCGAUAUCAACCCUCCCCUUCAUCUCCAAAAUCCUAGAAAAGGUUGUAGCACAGCAGCUAUGUUCAUACCUGCAUAGAAAUAACAUUUGUCAGUCAGGGUUUAGGCCUCAUCAUAGCACAGAGACAGCGCUGGUUAAAGUUGUGAAUGACCUGUUACUGGCCUCUGAUCAGGGUUGUGUCUCCCUGCUUGUACUGCUUGACUUAAGUGCAGCUUUUGACACCAUUGAUCUCCUUUAUAGGCUGGAAAAUAUUGUUGGAGUUUAGGGAACAGCCUAUUUGAGUGACCGUUAUCAGUUUGUAGAUGUAAAUGGUGAAUAUUCUAUGCACAGUAAGGUUAAGUUUGGUGUUCCACAAGGUUCUGUUUUAGGCCCAUCUAUGUAUGUAUAGAUAUGCUACCUCUGGUUAAUAUUAUUCUUAAACAUGGUAUCAGCUUUCACUGUUAUGCUGAUGAUACACAGUUCUAUGUGUCAGCACAUCCAGAUGAGAGACACCAGUUUAGACUCUGGAUGUUGAACAAUUUUCUUUUACUAAAUUAUAUAAUAAAAAAUAUUAGGACCACAGGCAGCUAGAAGUAAACUUUCUGAUUACAUAGUAACUCUGGAUGGUAUUUCAGUUACACCAUGUACAGCUGUUAUAGACCUUGGUGUGAUUAUUAAUUCCAGUUUUUCUUUUGAAGCUCAUGUAGCUAUCACCACCAGGAUAGCCUUCUAUCAUCUUAGAAACCUUGCUAAGCUAUGAUGUCACUACAUGACGCAGAAAUACUUGUCCAUGCUUUUGUUACCUCUAGGUUGGAUUAUUGUAAUCCCUUUUGUCUGGUUGUUCCAGUAGGUGUAUAAACAAACUGCAGUUAGUCCAGAAUGCAGCAGCCAGAAUCCUUACUAGAACCAGAAAAUAUGAACACAUCACCCCUGUCUUAUGCACACUGCACUGGCUCCCGGUCAGAUUUCGCAUUGACUAUAAAAUAAUGUCUUCUGCAUUUAACCCAUCUGUGGCAGUGAACACGCACACACCAGUGCACCAGUCAACACACACCCAGUGUGUCGGGCAGCCAUCCCCGGUGCCCAUGGCACUUCAGCCAUGGAUCCUGGGAAUUGAACCGGCAACCUUCUGGUACCAAGCCCAGUCCUCUAAUUAUUAGGCCAAGGCUAAUUAUUCGUUAUUCUUAUUAAUUUUUCUAGUUUGGACCAGUGUAGGAUGAGUCUCUUAAGGUUUCUUCCUCUUGCUCUGAGGGAGUAGUUUUCCUUGCCAAUGUUUUGCUUAGCUUGUUCAUUAAGGUUUGGACCAGGGUUUUUUGUAAACUACUUCGAGUCUGAUUGUGAAAAGUGCUGUCAUUUUCAUUUUAAUUUAUGUAAUGUAUCACAUUUUCCCAGCUGUAUCUAAUGCAACUCAAGUUCAAUUUAUGUUGUAUUUUAACAUGAUUGGUUCUACCAUCAUUCGUAAAUGUGUUUAAAUCGAUAAAUAUUUUAUUCAGUCAACUCUGAACUGAAACUAUAUUACAGGUGGCUGUAAUCUCAUGCAGGCUCACUAUUUUUAAGGUUACAUCAUGUUCUAUAUUGUUAUAUGUACAUUAAACUCAAUUUUUAUCUGUUGUAUGAUGUUGACCUUAUAAUAUUUUUAUAUUUUCUGCAAGUUUCCAUGUAAUAAAGGCUACUUGGCAUCAGCUGAA